rnacentral:lncRNA from 1 species
CCUGAUUGCUUGAAUGGCUGCUUCCUUUACAAAGUCUGGACCAUCAAAAUUUGGAAAACCCUGACCAAGAUUAAUAGCUCCAUGUUUGAUGGCAAGCAUACUCAUUUGGGUGAAAAUUGUUGUUUUGAACUUCUCUAACCGCUUUGCAACCUAACAAAAAAAUUAAAGCAAACAUAAAUUAUAAACAUAAACACAUGGCUCAACUAUGAAUAAUGAAGUUCUGUUUCUUCCUUAUCUUUUUCUUCACUUAUUUUGAUCAAUGAUAACAGGUAAACAAUAGAACCAAAUUUCUUCCUUUCAUAAAUCCUCCUGCUUCCUUCUCAAAAGAGAAAAAAAAAAAAACCCUCCUGCUUCUACCAGGCGAUAUAUUAUCUUUGGUCCUUACACCAAUUGGGACGGUUUUGAAAGGUAAACAAGCUAGCAUCAUCAUAUAAACUUAGGCCCUAUUUGGUUAAACAACUUAAUUAAGUGCCUACUCCCUCCGGUCACUAUUAUAGUUCAUAAGCAAAAAGUCACUUUUUAGGUUCAUUGAAUAAUUGAUGUAUUUGGCCUAUAUUAUAGACCAGAUACAUCAAUUAUUCAAUGAAUCUAAAAAGUGAUUUUUUGCUGAUUAGAGUGAUGCAUAGCACAAGUGUUUAUCAUAUCAGAGUUUAUGCAUAAGCUAUUUCUACAAGAAAAAAAUAAAAUAAGGCAAAUUAUUUUCAUACAAGUUAUUUUCAUAAGUUAUCCUAUGGAGCUUAAGGAAAUAAGCUGAAAACAACCUAUAAACAUGCUAUAAGCUAUUUUCAUAAGUUCUCUCAAACAGUCCUACAAAUGCUUAUAUCAAUAGAUGUCAAUAUGUGUUUCAGAAUGACGGUGAGUUUGAUGAAAUCAUGAUGGACAAUGAUUUUGUUUAAGCUCUAAAUUAUAGCUUUGCAAAAAUAACAGUGACACAUCCUAUUCUGUCAUACCGUAUAUUUGAUGUUAGCAAAGCAAAUAGACCUUAAAUUAGGGUUUUCUAUUUUACAUUCAAACAACCUAGGAAUCUAUAUCCUUUUCUCAUUCAUUUCCUUCCCUUUUCCCCCCAAACCCCAUUCUACCAGUAAAUAAAUAUUCUCAAAGCAUAUUAGAGAAAACUGAUGAAAGCUCAAAAAUAUUAUUGUAGCGAAAAAUUUGAUCGAUGAGGAACAAACCCCAGAAAUGAAUAACGAAAAAGUCAAAAGCAAAUGGGACAAAUUAUAAUAAAAAACAAUACAAAAUAAUAUAAAAUUAAUAAAUAGAAUGAACCUGCAAAGGAGUGAUAUUGUCAGUGGAAACAGCAGUGGACAUGGUGGCGGGAGCAAUGAGAGAUGGGAAUUUGGGGGGUUUAUAGGAGAAAGAGGGGGUGUUGAAAUUGAAAUGAUGAGUAGAAAAUUGUAACGAUUUAUAAGAAGGAAUGAAUCUAAAGAGAGAAUGUGUGCAGCAGGGGAGCUGCAUAUUAAUAGUACACUGAACCAAUUUGAUUCCUUUCUGACUUAAUGCUUAGUAUUGUCUUCGCGAAUGUCACGGCCCAGUGUAGUGCCGUUUCUGGUAGGAAGGACCGACUGAGAGUGAAACAUAUAAAUCAACUAAUUAAAUUUAAUUUAAUGAAUUUCACCAAACAACAAAUUGUUUAAAAGUACAAAAGUAAAUAAUAAUUUUGCAUUAGAAAAAUCAUAUUUUAACUUCUAAAAAUUUGAAUCAAUUAAAAAUAGUCUAUUUCGAUUUGCAAUAUUUGUUUCAAUUAAAAAUCUAAAGACAAAAAAACAAUUUAAUUGAUAUGAAUUGGAUUUUUGGGUUAAUAAUAAAUAGUUAAGGACUAAAUUCACAAAGUUCAUAUAUUGGAAAGAGACCAAAACUUGAGAAAAGAAUACUUGGUUGGUUUCUAAGAAAGAAAAAAAGAUCAACUUGAAAGUUGAAACACUGCACAAUUCACUCAAAACAAUUAAGUGUGAUACAUUAGUGUUUUUGUCAAAUUCCCAAUGAAUAAAUCAUCCAUUUUGUCUCUCAAGUAUCACCCCAAUCUAUUGUAUUUCCUAUACUAUAUCAAAAUAAUAUUAUAUAUUGUUCGUAAAUGUAUAACAAUAGACUCUAAUUUGCGAAUUUCUGUUUAUAUACUACUUUAAGGAUUAAGUGAGAGAGAGCGCAAUGGGGGAUUUAAUUUAACAGAUAUCCAUGGUUUGGGGACAAGGAAAGACAAUAAGAUACAACAAAAACAUGAUCAUGGACUGUAGUCCGUAGACAUACAACCAGUAACUUGGAAAAAGAAAGUUCAAAUCUGAAGCUCUUAGUAACAUAUAAAACCUUCUGAUGAUGAACAUAUAGCAGAAUAAUCUCACUCUAUUUCCAUAGUAAUGCUGGAAUAAUCUCACUCUACAUUAUUAAUUUAUAAGUGCAUAUACAACAAAGUGAUAAGAGGGGAGCCUAUACAUAUGCUACAACUAAGGAAAACAAAUUCAAACUAUUGAUGCGGUGCUGAGUCUGUGCACUCACUACAGAACAAACCAGCACAUACCCACCAAAACAUUGACAUUCAGGGGAAGAAGAUAGCAGAAAUUACACCAAUUAUAUCUUUGGGAUACUAGAAAGGAAAAUGUCUUUAUUUAUAUAUGUAUCACAUGACAUGAUCAUGUAUAGAGAUUAUUUACUAAGCUUCUCCUUCAUCCUUUCAACAGCAGCCUUAAUAGUUUCCUCGUCCUUGCAGAAAGUAAACCUGACUAGAUUCUUUCCCUCUUCUGGAUUCAAGUAAAAUACACUUAAAGGUAUUGCCGCCACACCAAUCUCCUUAAUUAGAUAUUCACAAAAUGCAACAUCAUUUUCAUGUCCGAAAGGGGUGUGAUCUGCAAGCACAAAAAAGGUUCCAUUGGUUGGGAAUACCUUGAACCCAACAGCCUUCAACCCUUCAACCAAAAUAGCUCUCUUUGCAAUAUAGUCCCUCUUUAGCUCCACAUAGUAAGAAUCUGGUGCUCUAAGUGCUGCUGCAGCCCCACACUGCAAAGGAUGGGAAAUUGAGAAAGCGAUAUAAGUGUGUGCCUGUCGCACUCCCCACAUUAAGUGUGGAGGCGCUAUGGCCCAUCCAACCUUCCACCCCGUUAAGGAGAAUGACUUCCCCAAUGAGUUCAUUGUCACCGUCCGCUCGAACAUUCCAGGCAAAGUAGCAAUUGAAAUGUGCUCCAUAUCGAAUGCCAACUUAUGAUACACUUCAUCAGUGAAAACCAGAACAUCAUUUUCAAUGCAAAGAGAUGCAACAGAAUCGAGCUCCUCUCGAGUGAACAUCUUUCCGGUAGGAUUGUGAGGGGUAUUUAUAAGAAUGGCACGAGUAUUCUUUGAGAUGGUGGACUUCAAAUCAUCAAUCGGGACAGCGAAAUCUGGAGGGCGCAGAGUAAUGCUUUUUAUAUUUGCACCAGCCAUGGAUAAAGUGGCACCAUAAGAAUCAUAAAAAGGAGCAAACAGAAUAACCUCUUCACCGGGAUUUAUUAAUCCUAAUACAGUUGCAGCGAUUGCUUCUGUGCAACCAGAUGUAACAGUAAUUUCGUUAUCAGGAUCUACAAUUAGUCCAGUAUCUUUCUUGAAUCUCUCAGCAAUUGCAAUGUUGAGAUCUGGAACUCCAAAACCCCUUGCAUACUGAUUAUUCCCAUCCCUGAUUGCUUGAAUUGCUGCUUCCUUUACAAAUUCUGGACCGUCAAAGUUGGGAAAGCCCUGACCAAGGUUUAUAGCACCAUGUGUGAUGGCAAGCAUACUCAUUUGAGUGAAGAUUGUUGUUUUGAACUGCUCUAGCUGUUUUGCAACCUAACAAACAAAUGACAAGCAACAAAGGUCAAUGUAAACACAUGGCUUAAUUAUGAACAGUGAAGUUCUUUUUUCCCCUCGUCUUUUUCUACAUUGUUUGUGACAUUGUUAGAUAAGAUAACCAGAUACUAAUGUACAUAACAGAACUAAACCCAUAAAUCACAGAUACUAACACAUUGAGAUCGGUAAUAAUAUGGAAAAAUAAAUAAUUGAAUGUAGCUACAUUUGUCUGUGUUAUGUAAAUGUUUAACACCGACACGUGAUGAAGUUCAGACGCGCCUUCAAUGUGAAGUGACGGUGCUACACAGAACCAAACUCUUCCUUGCAAAUCCUCCACCCCCCCACUUAACUUUCUGAUGGUUCUACAAGGUAAAAGCUAGCAAAUUGUACCAAAUAUACCUCUCAGUGAGAAACCCAGAAAUUCAAGAUGAAAUAUGUAACAUUAAUCAAACUAAAAGAUAAGAAAAACAAUUACUACGUGUUCUGGACUGGCCCAAGUUUCUCAUCAACUCAAGGCCCACUACACAAAGGCCCAAUUCAGCGGAAUUCUUCCUCAGCCUCAGAUCCUCUCCAAUUCGUAACGGCUCCAACGGCUAGUAAUGCUUCUCAACGGCCGCCGGAUCCAAACAUUGAUGAGGCGUCAAUGGUAACAACGGUACUCCAUCACUCUCCAACGGCUCCUCUCUGGUGCCUACAGAAACCAUCCUUUACCACAAUGCAAGGUACACAAUUCCUUCCACUUGAUACCUCUCACUCUUUGCUCUCAUACUAACUUGAGGAUCGGAGUGUUUUCAGGUACCACCUCCUAACAUUCAUCUUGACGGACAUUGUUCAAGUUCGGUCAAUCCUUCUCAAUCACGUAAGAUCACUAUGUGCCCAACAAAACCGUAACAAGUAAUUAACACUGUUGGGUCAUGGGGGAACCCGGAGAUCAACAUAUUGGAUUUAGAGUAACCACACAAGUAGAUUGAACACCAUAUAUAAACCAAAAACCUUAAGACAUUAGAUAUGUGGGUUCUCUCACUUAUAUGUUGACAUAUAAUUUGCAACAAAAAUUUAAAUCUUCAUGUUAGUGUAUUCUAUGAAGCAUUGACAGAGACACAACACUGAUACACCACAUACGCCGAUAAUUCUAAAAAUGAAUUAAUUAAAUGAAUUUUAUGUGCGACAGACACGACAUCAGACACAACACUAACACAAACAUUCGAUCAAAAGUGUUGGUGCUAUAAAGAGGGUAUUACAUUACAUAUACUAACAAAAGCAAAUAAACAAAUGCAAAUAAAUAGUAGGCCAAAUUGAGGUGCAUCCCCCAAAGCUAAAAAUGGAAAGAUGUAAAGGAAACAGUUACAUGGGGCUACAACUUAGAAGCUAAAUACACAAUUAUAUAAUGCACUUCUAUUAAAACAGAAUAUAGAUGAUAGCAUAGCAGUAGUAAAUGGAUCCGAAAAGCGUAAGGUGAAAGGAAUUGAAAAGUGGGAAGAGGAUGAACCUGCAAAGGAUGACGUAUUUUCUCAGAGGUGGUUUCAUUUUCGGUUGAAACGAUGGACAUGGUAGAGUGGAAACCGAAGAUUGGAGCUCUGGGAUUUUGAGUAACAGUGGAAAUGAAAAACCUGACAUGUUAUUGUAUUUUAUUAUUGGAUUGGAUGGAGAAUUAAAUUAUUCUAAUCAUGAUAUUGCGUCAACCAAAGUUUGCUGCAGACAUGUGACGGACCAAAUGGCCAACUUGUCCACAAAUAAAAUAAAAAAAAGGCUUAAAUAGUGAUGAAAUUUCAUCCAACCAUUUGAUUUUUUAUCCUUGAGUUUACUAAUCCUCUCAUUUUACCCUUGUAAAAAUUAACCAUUUAAAAUUUCGUCCCUCUUCCAGAUUAAUCACUGCCACGUCAUCAAAUUAGCAAAAUGGCAUGGGAAUGGACAAAAAUACCCUCAAAUUAAUCUUCUUCACUCCUUCAAGCUUCCCUUGAGAAACCUGAUUCAUUUUUUCUUCCCUGAGAAAUCAUCAAUCUCCCUGCUUCAUUCUUUUUCUUCAAGUUUCCAAACAGAACACAUGCAACAAAGCGAUAGUGAAAAAAGAAAGUGAACCAAUAAAGGAGAAGGAAGAUGAAACCUCAAUCCAGACGGAAUUGGUAGUGCACGUGGUGGUUGCUGGAGGAAGGAGCUGCUCGCGGCGGUGCUCUGAUCAAAUAUGACGGUAACGGCGACGUAGAUCGAUUUGCGGCAGUGUUGAAUGUGAUUGAUGUUGCAGCUAUUUCCACUCAUUUCUAUAAUUUUCCUUUCUCUUUCAAACACAUAUUACCAGCCUUUGUUUUUGGAUAUGAGUGAUGGAUUUUGAUGAGUUUGAACACGUUGAUAUUGGAAGGAUUGACAAUGAAUUGAUUUGGGUGUUUAAAAUGAGAAUUUUACAAAGGAAAGUGGAAUUUGCGGUGUGGGUUGAAGGUUUUGUUUGGAUUUGUUGAAGAAAUGGAGGUUAUGGGUGGAUUAUUAGUUGAUGAUGAAGUGGAAGAGGAUGAGGAAGAAGGAGGGGUAUUUUUGUCCAUUCCUAUGUCAUUUUGCUAAUUUGAUGACGUGGCAGUAAUUAAUUGGGAAGAGGGACGAAAUUUUAAAUGAUUAAUUUUUACAGGGGCAAAAUGGAAGGAUUAGUAAGUUUAGGGAUGAAAAAUCAAAUGACCUAUAAUUACAGGGAUGAAAUGCAUAUUUAAGCCUAAAAAAAACAUAAACUAAAGGUGUUCAACUCACAAAAAUAUUAAAAGACGUUGGAGUUGGAUUUGAACUUCGAUACUGAGUUUUAAAAGUUUUUUGAGUUUUAAUAGCUAUUUACCAUUUUGUCUAUAAAAAAAAAAAUAUAGAAAAUAUAAUUAACACGGUUGAAUUAUAUAUGUAUCAGUUAUCACGCUAGUCGGAGUACCCUUGCAACACAGUUGCACGGGGCAAGUCUGUCUUGGUUAGUUAUAUUGAUUAAUUUUAAUUUCAUAACCAAUGAUAAAUAUUAAUAGAGUAGUGAUACAACUUUUGAUGACAACUAAUUUUCUCUCUCUCUUUUUAUUGGUUAAAAACAAUCAAGAGAUAAAAAAGAAGAGAGAGAAUAAGAGGAUAAUGUAAGUAUGAGAUAGAAAGUUGUCAAAAAGUUGUCACAAAGUGGUUGUACAACUGACAAACUUUAUGGUACACCAAAAAAUUUGAGUGUAUUAAUACACUAAAUCAAUAAAUUAAUAGUUAAAUGUAUUAUUUUCUGAAGAGAAAAAUUGUUUUCUAUCACCUAUAAUUAUAAUAAUGAAAUCUUAUUUACCAAAAACAUUCACAGAAUAAAAUUUAAUUUUUCUGAAUUUUUAGUACUCAUACUAGAGAAUUUUGAUUAUUUUUUACAAUAAAAUAUAAAAAAAAUUAGUAUGAUUUUUAUAAACAAUGAAAUGAAGUUUUUUCUUAUGUAAUGACAUUUUCUAAAAUAUAAAUAUCAACAAAUAACUUUUUAUUUCAUAAAAAUAAUAGUUCAUUUAAAGAUUUGAUAAACCAUAAUUUACAGGUAUACCGUAUAAGUUCUCGUACAAAUAUCAUUUCUCAUACUAGUAAUAUUCUUUGUAAAUUUGAUAGAAAUAAAGUAAGCAAGCAAUGACUAUCAAGCCAUAUUCUAACAGAGUCAAAAAGAUACAUCAAUACGACAAUGGUAAAUACUAAUAGUAUUCUUUCAGUGUUACAAACAGAAAACUUCAAAAGCUUCCACUCCAAAUGAAUUGUCUUUACUCUGUUGCACAAACAGAAAAUGAAAUCAACUUCAAAAUAAAGAAAGAUUAGGCAUAUGUUUGUUUUCACAGUUAAUUCAUUCCCACCGUAAAUUAACAUUGAAGCUACGAAUAUUAACAAAUUUAUAGUUCUAUUUAUUACAAAAGAUAGCAAAUGAACUCAACACGAGAGAAUAACAAACCAAGCCACAUGUAAAUGGCAUUUGCUUAAACAUUUCAGUUGCAUAACUGCAUAAGUAAAUAUAAUGAUAGAAGAUAUUUGUUCAAAAUAGCAAAAGUUAUAGAGAAAAACCUAAAAAGGGAUCAAAUCCCUUGAAACACAGUAGAAUCCCUCAUAGGAUAAAUCAUUUGACCACCAAACUGGACUUACAAAAGUCAAGGUGAAAAAAACGUCAUGUAAUUGCAUGUUAUAUCACAUGACAUGAUCAUGCAUACAUAUUAUUUCCUAAUUCUCUCCUUCAUCCUCUCUCCUUCAUCCUCUUCUGGAUUCAAGUAAAAUGCACUGCAAGGUAUCGCCGCCACACCAAUCUCCUUAAUUAGAUAUUCACAAAAUGCAACAUCAUUUUCAUGUCCAAAAGGGGUGUGAUCUACAAGCACAAAAAAGGCUCCAUUAGACGGGAAUACCUUAAACCCAACAGCCUUCAAUCCUUCAACCAAAAUAGCUCUUUUUGCAAUAUAGUCCCUCUUUAACUCCACAUAGUAAGAAUCCGGUGCUCCAAGUGCUGCUGCAGCCCCACACUGCAAAGGAUGGGAAAUUGAGAAAGUGAUAUAAGUGUGUGCCUGUCGCACUCCCCAUGUUAGGUGUGGAGGCGCUAUGGCCCAUCCAACCUUCCACCCCAAAUAACUUCCCUAACGAGUUCAUUGUCACUGUCCGCUCAAACAUUCCAGGCAAAGUAGCAAUUGAAAUGUGCUCCAUAUCAAAUGCCAACUUAUGAUACACUUCAUCACUGAAAACCAGAACAUCAUUCUCAAUGCAAAGAGAUGCAACAGAAUCAAGCUCCUCUCGAGUGAACAUCUUUCCGGUAGGAUUUAGAGGGGUAUUUAUAAGAAUGGCACGAGUAUUCUUUGAGAUGGUGGACUUCAACUCAUCAAUCGGUACAACAAAAUCUGGAGGGUGCAGAGUAAUGCUUUUUAUAAUCGCACCAGCCAUGGAUAAAGUGGCACCAUAAGAAUCAUAAAAAGGAGCAAACAAAAUAACCUCAUCACCGGGAUUUAUAAAUCCUAAUGCAGUUGCAGCGAUUGCUUCUGUGCAACCAGUUGUAACAGUAAUUUCUUUAUCAGGGUCUACAAUUAGUCCAGUAUCUUUCUUGAAUCUCUCAGCAAUUGCAAUGUUGAGAUCUGGAACUCCAAAACCCCUUGCAUUCUGAUUAUUCCCAUCCCUGAUUGCUUGAAUUGCUGCUUCCUUUACAAAUUUUGGACCAUCAAAGUUGGGAAAGCCUGCACCAAGGUUUAUGGCUCCAUAUGUGAUGGCAAGCAUACUCAUUUGGGUGAAGAUUGUUGUUUUGAACUGCUCUA